AUUAAGCCUCUUUUCUUACAAAUUACCCAGCCUUGGGUAUUUCUUUAUAGCCAUGUGAGAAUGGCCUAACACACGUGGUGAGAGAAGUCUGUGUGGGGGUGUCGGGAGGCUAGGAAGAGUGGCACCACCAGAUGGCUCAGGGUCAGGUGCGUCCUGGGAGGUCCUGAGCCAUCUAUGGAGUCAGUGAUGGAAGCCACGGAGGAAAGGAAAGGUCAGAGUGAGCCCGCAGAGGGAGAGCCUCUUCAUGACGGUCCGUGAGAUGGAGGUCUAAGGAACCAAGUGCUCCGCCUGAACGAGGAUGACCUGGAGAGGUCUGUCGCCUGAAUGAGAGUCACUGAGUUUACACUGCAGGAGAGCUGCUCCCAAGACCAAGGCCCUGCGAUUCCCAGAGGCCGUCGGACCGCGGCAUCCCUUGGUGUGCACAGUGGGCGUGGAGAAGGACCCAGAGUCUGGAGCCUACAUCCUGGAGGACUGUGUAUCUUGGGAGGGGCCGGGGCUUGUUUAUACUUUCAUUGUUUGACUUGCUGCAUGCUUAAUGGUAGUUUCCUGAACAAGGUCCUGUUUCACCCCAAGGGCCCUGAACUUUAGGACGCUGACUGUGUCAAAGCAAGGUUAAACACAAACAAGCCGCAAGAAAAGGAAAGUCAAAACCAGAGGCACUGGAGGGAUCACAACAAAAAGCACCUUGAGAAGCACCGCGCCUACAAGACAGCAGCGCAGCAUGGCCGGCUCCCUGCCUCAAGCACCAGACACACUAACCCAGGUUCCGAGAGGGGGCAGGUCAACCCUGGAUAAAAUAAACUCCAGGAGGCCGGGCACAGUGGCUCACGCCUGUAAUCCCAGCACUUUGGAAGGCCGAGGCGGGCAGAUCACUUGAGGUCAGGAGUUCAAGACCAGCCUGGCCAACAUGGUGAAACCCCGUCUCUACUAAAAUAUGAAAAUUAACCAGGCAUCCCAUCUGCCGGAGGAGUCCAGUUGAGUGGGACAACAGUGGUGUGUACCAGGGGAGUACACAGAAGGUCAGGGCUCAAAUUCCAGUCCUGCGGCGCACCAGCACCGUGAUCGUGAAAGCGGCACCAGUCCCGUGAUCGUGAACCCCGCACCAGCUCCGUGAUCGUGAACCCCACAUGAGCUCCGUGAUCGUGAACGAGACACCAGCCCCGUGAUCGUGAACCCUGCACCAUUUCCGUGAUCCUGAACGCGGCACCAGCUCCGUGAUCGUGCUAAAUGGCAUAGUAAUUCUGGCCAACCAUGAUGAAAUUUGAAUGAUUUAUUAGACUAGUCAAAACUGCCAGAUUGGCCACUUUUAAUUGGCCAUUUUUCACCAUUUAAACACACCCAGGUCUAGUCCAAUGGCAAAUGCGGUGAGUCACCUAAUCCCAGUCUGUGUGAUGGAAAGUGGAUGUCAGCCCGUGGAGACAGUAGCUCAGUUUUCUGCUUAUGAUGUUGACUGCACCCAGUCUACAGGGGAAGAGCAAGUCGUGCCCACCCCUGCCCCUUCUGAGAAGAGGGCCCCACAAAGCUUCCCUCUGCUUAGGGAGGGGAGUCAGGAAAUGGCCCAUCACUCCUUGGUGUCUUGUCCUGGUGUGGACACCUCCUCCCUGCAGGAAACGUCCUGCCCCAAAAGGGUGACACUUCUGUUAAGUACCAAGUAUCACUGACUCCAGCGUGCAGUUGCAGGGUGGGAAACAGGAAGCUGCACCCCCCAAAAUGGAACAGCCCAACGGGUUCACCUUGCCCACUGCCAAAUUAUCAAGACGGAUAAUUGCAGUCGAGAAAGAGUAAUUUAUGCAGAGCUGGCUGUGCGAAGACUGGAGUUUUAUUACUCAAAUCGGUCUCCCUGAAAACUCGAGGAUCAGAGAUUGUAAGGAUAAUUUGGUGAGCAGGGGCUCGGGAAGUGGAGUGUUGAUUGGUCGGGUUGGAGAUGGAAUCAGAGGGGGUUGAAGUGGGUUUUUGUUGCUAUCUUCUGUUCCUGGGGGGAUCGCAGAACUGGCUGAGCCAAAUACCAGUCUGGUCGGUCAGCUGGUACAUCAGAAUGCAGGGUCUGCAAUAUCUCAAGCACUGAUCCUAGGUUUUACAGCAGUGAUGUUAUUCCCAGGAGCAAUGUGGGGAGGUGUAGAAUCUUGCAGCCUCCAGCUGCAUGGUUCCUAAAUCAUAAUUCUAAUCUUGUGGCUAAUGUGUUAGUCCCCAGGCAGGAAGGGGGUUUGUUUUGGGAAAGGACUGUUAUCAUCUCUGUUUCAAAGCUAAACCAUAAACUAAGUUCCUCCCAGAGUUAAUCUGGCCUACGGCCAGGAAUGAACAAGGACAGCUUGGAGGUUAGAAGCAAGAUGCAGUCAGUUAGGUCAAAUCUCUUUCACUGUAAUAAUUGUCUCAGUUAUAAUCUUUGCAAAGGUGGUUUUAAAAAUAUUGCUCCAGGACCCCAAAUGUCUGAAGAAUUGGCCUUAGCACGUUACUGUAUUAUCAAUAUUUUGCCAGUCAGCAGACAACAAAAAGGGGAGAGGAAGUCUGGAUUGUCCAUCUUGGGUGGUGUUAGUGUUGGUGUUGGUAGUGAUGGUGGUGGAAGUGGAGGUGAUGGUAGGAGUGAUUGUUACAGUGGUGUUGAUGUUGAGGGUGUCAGUGUUGGUGGUGGAAUGGUGGUGAUCAUGGUGGCAGUGAUGGGGGUGGCAAUAGUGGUGGUUAGGGGUGAUGGUGGUAAUCACGGUGACUAUGGCAUUGGUGGUGGUAGAAAAGGUGAUGCUGGAGGUCGUGGUGGUGGUAUUGAUAUUGGCAGUGUUAGUUGUGGUUAUUGUGGUGCUGCUGAAGGUGAUCAGAGAUGGCGACAGUGAUAGUGGCAAUGGUGAUUGUGAUGGUGGUGGUAUUGACAUUGGCAGUAUUGCUGAUGGUGAUGCUGGUGGUGAUGAUGGUAGAGACGAUGGUGAUUUCGAUGGUGGAUGUGUUGAUGAAGGUGGUGAUUGUUGUGGUGCUGGUACUGAUAUUGAUAUUGACAGUAAUCCUGAUGGUGGUACUGACGGUGAUGGGAAAAGUGGUGGUGAUUUUGACAGUGGAUGUGUUGUUGAGGAAAGUGGUGAUUGAUAUGGUGAUGGUAGUAGUUAUUGUGGUGGUGCUGGAGGGUGGUGGCAGAGAUGAUGUUAAAGGUGGUGAUGGUAAUGGUGGUGAAGCUGGUGGUGACAGAGAUAGUCAUGGUGUCAGUGGUGGAGCUGGUGGUGAUGGAAGGGGUUGUGGUGGUUGAUAUGGUUUGGAUGUGUGUCCCCACCUAAAUCUCAUGUGGAAUUGAAAUCCCGUGUUGGAGGUGGGGACUGGUGGGAGGUAAUUGAAUCAUGGGGGUAGAUUUCCCCCUUUGGUGCUGUUCUCAUGGUAGAGUUCUCACGAGAUCUGGUUAAAAGUGUGUAGCACCUCCUGCUUCUCUCUCUCUUUCUCCUGCUCUGGCCAUGUAAGAUGUGCUUGCUUUCCCUUCACCUUCCACCACAAUUGUAAAUUUCUUGAGGCCUCUCCAGCCAUAUUUCCUGUACAGCCUACAGAA